CCUUUACACACAACAAUAUUUUCUCUUUUCUUCUUCGGCUGAAACGCUAUUUCUUCCGCCGAAACCGCCGACCACCCAUCCUAGCCGUCACCACCCACUCCGUUCGCCUUCCUCCGUUCUCCGACCUCCUCCUCCGACCACCCAUCCUAGUCGUCACCACCCACUCGCGCUAAAUCCAAAUCCGAAGACCCAUCAUGGCCGUCACCACCCUUCUUCUACAAAUUCUUGACUCCUUCUUCUCUUCUAAUAUGAUUUCAUCAGUACCAGGUGGUUGGAAGAUUUGUCGUAUGAAGCUUUGGGCUACCAAUGAAGUUUGCGCCAAGUCCAAGUUCAGGUAUUUCUUGAGGAAGCUGAAGAAGGUGAAGAAGAGCAAUGGUCAAAUCCUUGCUAUCAACAAGUAUAUACUUGCGGAGCUUCUUCGGUUUGGUGAUCGUGAGUUUUACAAAGAUUGGUGGAAUGCCUAAACAGUUUAAGAGGUAGGCUUUUUGUUCUGUUUUAUUAUUGGGUAUUUUUAGUUACAAUACUUCCAUGAAGAGAAUCCAUGACCCGUUUUUGUUGAAUGCAUUUAUGCUGUUGCUGUCAUCAAUAUUGGAGGAUGUGGAAUAUGGUACGUUUCCUUUUCAGUCUUGGAUGAAGUUAUUGUAAACACAUAUUUGAUAUCAGCCUCAGAUUUAUGGUUUGUUAAGAAAGCUAAAAUAUGUUCAUUUGGAGUAACUUCAUCAAGCUAUCAAGAAAUGUGAACAUGCUAUGAUUAUUUUAGAUCCUACUGUUGCAUCAUUAGAAACAGAGAGCGGCAGAGUCAUCCAUCUGAAGAAUUCAAAUGCUUACAUUAAUUUUCAUGGUUAAAGUUGUGUAAUUUGGUUUUUGUUUGUAUUGUCCAAGUAAUAUGUUUAAUCUUGGAAUGAUUCAAAAUUAUGGGGAAUCAUUUAAACUUAAUUGUGUAUAGUAUUUUACUAUUCAUUUUAGUAUCAUUGUUAAU